rnacentral:rRNA from 1 species
CCUANGGGGGGCAGCAGUCGAGAAUUUUUCUCAAUGGGGGAAACCCUGAAGGAGCGACGCCGCGUGGGGGAUGAAUGGCUUCGGCCCGUAAACCCCUGUCAUUCGCGAUCAACCCCUGCGACCUAAUACGUCGCAGGCUGAUAGUAGCGGAAGAGGAAGGGACGGCUAACUCUGUGCCAGCAGCCGCGGUAAUACAGAGGUCCCAAGCGCUGUUCGGAUUCACUGGGCGUAAAGGGUGCGUAGGCGGUCGGGUAAGUCUGACGUGAAAUACCGGAGCUCAACUCCGGAAUGGCGUCGGAAACUAUUCGGCUGGAGGAUUGGAGGGGGGACUGGAAUUCUCGGUGUAGCAGUGAAAUGCGUAGAUAUCGAGAGGAACACCUGUGGCGAAGGCGAGUCCCUGGACAAUUCCUGACGCUGAGGCACGAAAGCUAGGGGAGCAAACAGGAUUAGAUACCCUANUANUC